GCUUUCUGAGGUGCUGUGGUGUUACUCUGUGUGGGUUAGAAGCCUUCUGAUGAGAGACACUUCCUCUUGAAGCUGCUGAAAAGGUGUGGAUACUUUGAACUUUCAAGAAAAAGUCAGCCAGUGGACAUUUGGAAGUCAAGAUGGGCAGACUGAUUGAGUUCAGCUGUGCCUCUUGGUGAGCUCUUAGGAGCAGGAGUGGUGAUUUCCAGCUCUUGCCUGCUGAAGACUAAAUGCACCUGUCAGAAAUGGAGUUAAUUUUCUUUAUACCAGUCCCAUGUGGUGCCACAUUUCAGGUUUGUGACUAAACCUGCGUUCUGGCUGUUUCUCAUUAGUAACUGCAGAGCAGCAAGGUUUGCUCUUGCUCUGCCACACCUGGGGUGGGCAAAAAGAAACUGGGCACCACACAACUGGUGCAGCUGGCCCAGACUGACCAGUGGAGUAUUUCAUGCCAUGUGAUGUCAUGCUCAGCAA